AAGACUAUAGACCUGCGGAGUACCUGCGGAAGGAUCAUUACCGAGUGAGGACCUAACCGGUCCAACCUCCCACCCGUGUCUAUCGUACCUUGUUGCUUCGGCGGGCCCGCCAUUCGUGGCCGCCGGGGGGCAUCUCGCCCCCGGGCCCGCGCCCGCCGGAGACACCAACACGAACACUGUCUGAAGGUUGCAGUCUGAGUCGAUUUAUUUAAUCGUUAAAACUUUUAACAACGGAUCUCU
rnacentral:misc_RNA from 1 species